UACGGAGGGUGCAAGCGUUGUCCGGAGUUAUUGGGUUUAAAGGGUGCGUAGGCGGCCCGGUAAGUCAGUGGUGAAAGCCUCCAGCUCAACUGGAGAACUGCCAUUGAUACUGCCGGGCUUGAGUACAGACGAGGUUGGCGGAAUUGAUUGUGUAGCGGUGAAAUGCAUAGAUACAAUCAAGAACUCCGAUUGCGUAGGCAGCUAACUAGGCUGUAACUGACGCUGAGGCACGAAAGCGUGGGGAGCGAACAGG
rnacentral:rRNA from 1 species